rnacentral:lncRNA from 1 species
CCACCUUCAGGGCAGACAGUACAUUCCUGGCCAGAGGGUAUAAAACAAAUCAACUUGAUUAUGUGUGGAGGGAGGGACAGCUAGUUCAGAGAGGGCAAGGCCAAGAGCAGAAGGUGAGCCCAGAGAACAUGUGAGAAACAGCCCAGGGUUGUGAAAGAAGUCAAGUUUGGUAGGUCAUCAGGACCAAGAGGUGAACAUGGAACCCAGACAGGGAGAAAAGCAGGUGCCGCAAAAGUGCUAGAAAAAUCAAGAGCAACAGUGAGCCUGGCCUGAGGAGUCUUGGACUUUACUGCUAGUGUUCUGGGUGGUAGAAGGAAGACAGAUAUUCCGGAGAAUUCUGACUUCCCAGAGGCAACCUGUAACAUAUUCUUCUCAUCCUCCCCAUGAUCCUGGGGCUGGUGACCAUGAUGUGAUGUGUAUGACUGAAAUUCUGUGCCACUUCUGCAGCCAGAACUGAGAGACCAGGGCAGCAAGGAGUACAUAACAAAGGAAAAGAAGCCCUGGCAUAUUCUUGGACGCAAGGCACAGCCUCAUGCCUUGAGAAAGGUAAGGGGCAUCAAUCAAUUUUUUCAUUUGCAAAUAAA